rnacentral:pre_miRNA from 1 species
AAAAAUUUGUAAGAUCUUUGACCCUUAAUGCACAUUCCCCAUCUCCCAAGUUCAAUAUGUGCAGUGAAGUGAGUUGAUAGAAAUUAUAGGGAACA